UAAGGAAUAUUGGACAAUGGAGGCAACUCUGAUCCAGCCAUGCCGCGUGAAGGAAUAAGGCCCUAUGGGUUGUAAACUUCUUUUAGACGGGACAAAACCCCUUUACGUGUAAAGGGUUGAUGGUACUGUCAGAAUAAGCAUCGGCUAACUUCGUGCCAGCAGCCGCGGUAACACGAAGGAUGCAAGCGUUAUCCGGAAUUAUUGGGUUUAAAGGGUGCGUAGGCGGACUAAUAAGUCAGUGGUGAAAGCCUGCAGCUUAACUGCAGAAUUGCCAUUGAUACUGUUAGUCUUGAGUACAGUUGAGGUAGGCGGAAUGUGUCAUGUAGCGGUGAAAUGCUUAGAUAUGACACAGAACACCGAUUGCGAAGGCAGCUUGCUAAGCUGUAACUGACGCUGAGGCACGAAAGCGUGGG
rnacentral:rRNA from 1 species